UACCGGGUACAUAGAAAUCCCUGAUAGUCAAGUAGUGAGAAGUGUCGGUGGCAGGAGGAGUGAAAGAACUGGAGAAAACGGGGACGAAGAAGUGAGCUACCGUGGUGCGAACCACUACUUAGACCAUUCCUGAAGGUUCGUGAGGAGACAGAGUUCUUGGUAGAGAGAUUGUUGUGGCUUCGGGAGCGGAGCACCUUGUUAUGGGAAGUCAUAACGUCAACCGGGCCACAGUGGACACCGUUCUUCGUGCGUAGAGCGCAGUGUUGUGAAGUAGAACUUAGAGAACUAGACUUGCCGGUUUAUGGUGGGACGUAGCCAUUAGAGUGAAAGGAACGUUCUUAGUUUGAGGUCCUAUUGGACGACUUACCGCCCUAGGGCGGACUCCAUCCAAAAGACGCAGUGGAACAGCUCGAGAGGGAAAGUCUAUUGUAAGAAUGACCGCAUUAUGGCUUGAGAAACAGAUGGACAAGAUCGGAAGUCUAUUAGCUAGAACCCUUAUUGAUGGAGGUCCCCUUCUAGGGGUGUCCAAACCGGUUGACAGAUUUAGAGUGUCUCUAAAUAGAACUAUCGUUGUGCGAGGUGCCUUCGUAAGGCCUACCCAAGCCGUACGAAGGAUUCGAAAGUCAAGACAUACAAGAUUGUUGUUUAAUUGCCUGUUCUAAGGAAUGGGUGAACCUUCGUCGAGUAGUGAGAUGAUACAGCAGGACCGUUUGUUGUCGGAUUGACCUCCGAAAGGUGGAGAGAAUCGUUUAUCAAGUCGUGAACUUACCGACCUGAACCCUUCGUUACUGGAGCUACCUCUGCAUGGAGGGAGAGAGAAGUCGUCGGGUAGAGAACUUUAGUAUGAAAACCCUUCUUUAUUGAAGAGGCCCAGAUAAGGUGGAAAGAGUGGGUAGAGCGGCAACGCUUGAGACAGGGAUAGUAAGUUGUUAGAGCGUCCUUUUUAUGGAAGGUGGUAUCCCUUGAGGAGAAGGGAACAACUCGAAAACGAACGUCCCUUAGUGAACGUUCCGUCGUAAGGCACCUCAAACUCAUUUCAGGGGGUGAACCUGUUUAAUCUAGACUUAAUGUUGUUGAACUAUCCUCGGCAAGGUCCGAGAGAGAUGUUAUAUAGUUGUGAGUGUAUGGAACCGUACCCUUAAUUGUCGGAUUGUCCUCUUUAAGGUCUUUUAUAACCGGUAUGGGAAGUUUCGUAGGUCUGUAAGUAACAAGUUCCUUUGUCUAAACCUCCAUAAUAAGGGUGAAGUUACCGGUUCCGGUCUUUAGAAGUCUCGUAAUUAGAAACACUGUUACGUAAGGUACCAUAACAAGGAAUAAAACCCAGAAACGGGUUGAAUUGGCUUGAUUUAGAUCCGUUCUUGGUUGAGCUUCGACCGCUGACCUGAAAGGAGGUGAGCGAGUGGUCAACAUGUUUCGAUCAUUCAAAUGCAAAUCUACUUUUAUUGGAUGUUCCACUUGACGGUUUCAGGUAUCCGCUAGAAGGUUUUUCGAAUCUUAGAGACUAGAACUGUCGUUUAUUUUAUAGACCAUGGUAUGGUGUGCUCUAUCCCUUGGAAUCAUCGGAGUUUGAAGAAAUGUAUCUCGUGUUAAACGAAUGACCUUGGGAAGGCAUGAGUGAACCUUUGGAAAGGUUGUACAAGCAAGAUUCUAAUAGUCCUUUGUUCGAUAGACCGGUUUAGGGUGAAAGUUAAGCAUUUGAACCAGUUGAUUCACUCGAGAUAAACGUCGUUUUAUUAAACUCGCCCGGGUAGGGUCAUCGAAAUCGUGUCACGUUAUUCAAUGUGUGGGAUUUGGAGAGAACGUUGAGUAAACUACCUUGUUAUGGUUUUCUUGACAAGUGAUAAAGGUGUGAACGACUUCCAGAACUAGACAGAGUGUUGUUUGAGAGACCUGUAUAUGGUCACCUCUAACCGUUUAAUUAGUUGGAAAGGGGGGAGCUAUAAAGGUUGUUGGACAACUGACCUCUUUAAGGGAGUUGAAACCCGCUGACGGAGGUAAAUCUUAGGGAGGUGGACCUUCCAUUAGAUGAACUACCCGCUUAGGGAGUUAGAAAGCGACGUGACUUUCCGUAGUCACUGUACCUGGAAAGAGCUUUGUUGAACAGACCAGUUCAAGGUCUGAAGAAACUCCGAAAGUCGAGGGACAGUGAAGAGUUAAACAGUAAGUUGUUGGACCUCCCUGGGUACGGUUGACCACCCUAGAAGGUUUUACGUUCGUUCCACAAACAGGUUCCCUUGUUUCUCAACACACGACAGAGGGGUGAUAACUCUAACGGUGAAACGGUAUGUCGACGUAGAGUUGUUUCCGUGUCUAAGGUGUAAGACUUCUAUUACCCUAAUAGACGAGAACAGAAUCAGUACAAUAGUACAUAACCUGAGUAAAAAAAUUUCUUCCCUUUCUUUCGCUUCGUUCUUCUAGUAGGUAGGCAGCUCCUCAAUUUCUUUAAGUGUAUACGACUAAAUCACUUUCGUUGUUUACCAAAGAGAAAUCGGUUGAACCAACCAAGUCCUUUCAUACCCAGGCAUAUGUUUCCAUCUUAACUCAGACUUCUUGUACGUCAACGCUAGUUUCAAAAGUUUGAACUAGUCGGACCUCGUUGCUUUUCGAAGCAACGACUUACGGUCCGUGAGUCUUCAUGAGCAGUAGCAUUAGAACAUUCCCACUAGUGUCAUACGAGCUGUUCACUGGACUGUCCUUUACUCAAGUUUCGAGAAGAGGAACUUAUAUACCAAUUGCCGUUGGAACUUUCAACCGAGGUAGGUUGUGAGGUGCUCGUAGUAGACUUUUCCGGGAACAGAAACCCAAGUUCUUAUCGUUAUCGUCAUCUGUAUCGUCGACGAAACCUAAUGGACGUAUUGGUAACGUACGGAGGAUACUGUGUGACACUAGACUUCGGUUCGUUACAGGAAGACCUAGUCACCGCCUCCUGCUGUUUUUAAACUCCACCCCGCCUGUGAUUCCGCAUUUAAUUUAAUACUAUACGAUGGUAAGUGUUAUACUUUUAUAGUAAUUCUAGUGACUUAACAUGUAACAGUUUGAUAAAAUGGUAUGUCUAGUGUUUAAAUCUUUAGAUAAAAAAGGUAUUUAAACGUGGAAAUGAGAAUGGAAACAAGAUGGGAGAGAAAAGAAUGGGUAGACGAUAUAAAGAUGCAAAGGGUAAGUGACUUUCUCGCGGAUGUCAUCGGCGUGUUUAAUGUCAUUAUUCGUGGAGAGAGUGUGUGUGUAUUUUUUAUCGAUUAGUCAUCUUUAGGGUUGGCCCCGCCACUUCUCUUUAGUCCGGUCGCCUACUCUCCCUUAGCCCUUUGACGAUGGAAAAAUUUCCCAUUUUCUUACGUGGUCAGCUCCUGACGACGAUCAGAUCUGUCGACUCCUUGAACUCGUUAGUCCCAUUUUCUUACAUCGUCAAGGAAUCGACAACCCCCUCGUUAGUCCCGCGACGACCGGAUUGCGCCGAACGCAAGCGAGCUUCCGGGUAAGGGAAAAGAGGAAAAAAAAAUGGAUCGCUCCGUUGGUCCUCGGUCGGUCGGUCGCUAGGUCGCUACGCAUAUGGACAUGUCUAACGUAGCAUGUUUUAGUUCCAUCCCGCCCGCGGGUUGGAGCGGGAUGGCCCAGGAGGCGGACACAAGACCUACUACAGUACCCGCGUACACAACCACUGAAGCCCAACUGAUUCAAACAUGUGUCAAUAUGAAGAAGAUCCUAACUACCAAGAUGCUCGAAUCACCCUGGUUCUCCUAGUCAACCUAUGUAACGUGGUCUUAUACCGAAACCCUCGUUUUAGAGAUGGCUCCCACUAUAAAUGUCGAAACCUCAGUAGCAGAAUCUUUACGAGUGUCCCUUCGCAGGUUGACUACUCUACAAAUUUCUACCGGACUCGGAAAUGUUAAAACAACUUUUUAGUAAAGGACUUUUCUAACCGCUCUAAGAUCUAGGCUCUUAGUAAGGGAUAAUACGCCUGGUUCUGCCUCUUCGUCCGUCCCGACAUCUAGUUCUUUUAGUAGUAGUUUACCGACCUUACUCGACGUAGUAGUUCGAGCAAUUCUAACCGGAGUACACGCGACGUCUCUGUGGGUUUAUAGCAGGGAGUUACGUCCUACAAAUGCAACUCCAGUGGCGUUAGUUUCUACGUAAAAGUCGUGACGUCCCAACUCGUUUUUGACGUUUGUAAAUUAUAACGAGUCUACAACGACGACGUCCUACUGGAUUCUGAUCAAAGGAAAUGAAUUACGAAAUGGAAAAGAGCUAUCUUUAGCACAAUACAGCACCUAGCAGAAGGUAAAAUGUUCAUUUAGAUACAAGCAGCACAUACAUUCGACACCAAGUUGGAUAUAGUUU
rnacentral:rRNA from 1 species